rnacentral:lncRNA from 1 species
UUUUUUUUUUGUCAAUGUAAGAUGUACACGGGCCCAAAAAAAUGCAUCACGGAAAUGCCAAACCAGGUAGUUACAACCACAGGACUGACUAACUCUACAGCACACCAUCCACUAGCCAAUUACAUUCCCGACACCGGGAACCAGGAGCUAACCACGUCUUUUAGGAAGCACUGAGUAGCAUGUCUCUCUCAACAUGAACCUUUCGAGCCGAAGGAGAGGGGACGCCGGCCGAGCCGAUUGGGCUCUCAAGACUUGGUGUUCUUCUGCCGCUUCUCCUCGAGCUGCGAAGCCUCGUUCAGCAUGUCCAUGGCGUCGCUCUGCAUGUUCAGCUUCGAGAGGGCCACGGCUUGCAUGUAGAACGCGGUGGGCCAGUCAGGGUAUACGCACUGCGCCUGCAUCGCAUCGCGGAGGGCGGCGUCAGGUUGGUCACACAUGAGGUGGCACAGGCUCCUCCUUGCGUACACUGUUGGUGAUACCAUCGUCCCCACAUCAACAAACUGCAAAUAUGAAAAGGGGUGGCGAAAUGAAUUAGCUGAAUUCUAGCAAUUUCUUAGAGCGUCGAAGCGUUCCUGAUAUAAGUAAGACGUGUGUCAACCUGUGUAUAGCAAUCUAUGGCUGCCUUGAAAUCUUUAUCACGGAAAGCAAAGUCCCCACGCUUCCUAGCUUCCAACAUGUCCCUCAUCUGCUGUGUCCAUUCCUGGAAUGAUAGCUGCAAUAAACGUACCACUUUCUUAAAAUUAUUACCCUGUAGAAACGUCAGCAGACAGCAACAGAAAAGCCAUGAUGUUUACCUCAUUAGUCCCUUCAUCAUCCCUGUAAUGUGUAUUCACUAGAAUCUGGUGGAUAGCCGUCAAAUCCAUCCUAGAACAGGCUUCACCCAUGGGAGAAAGAGGGUGCUGUGGCUGCGGAGCAGGAGUUGGAGGCACUGCUUCUUCAUACUUUGGAAUGCCAAGCAUCUCAUAGGAUGGUACCUGUUUGCAAUUUGCAAUGGAAAUGUAGCAGCCGUAAGAAAAGCACAAAAUUGCCUUGUUACCAUAAGAUAACAGUUACGUGGAAGCCAUGAAUGAAUCAAAUCACAAUAAAGCAAACAAUCAAUGGUAGAGCACAUAGGCUGCAUGGUUAUAUGAAGCUUUUUUUAGAGGAUAAAAAAUAUAACGGUUACCUCUGAUUUUAUUUGCAAGGGCUCGAGAACAGAAACCAGCUUCUUAGUGUUGGGGCGAUCCCUAGGUUCAUACUGUAAGCACUGAGAAGCAAGAUCGACCAAUGUGGUCGCUUCUUCUGUUGAGUAGUUUCCCUCCAAAUGUGAAUCCAUCAGUACUUGGAUAUUGUUGCCUUUUAUCAUAUCAAGAGCCUGAGUGAAAUAAAGCUAAUUUUCAAUGAUAACCUAACGACUUUGUUACCAAGUUAUGUCCGAAAGGAAAAUAUGUUCUCCCACAGAUGCUCAGUAUCGCACACUUGGUGGCAGUUGCAAAAAGGAGAUAUGCACAGAAUAGUAUUGAAUACAGAGGUAUUUUUCACAAAGGGGGUCAGUAAGGAUCAAAUGCAACAAGGAAAUAGAUAGUAUUAACGAUAAAAACUUACACGGGAAGGAGGUAUACGCUUUCCACUGAGGAGGUCCAGAAGUAUAGUGCCAAAACUGUAUAUGACACUUUCUGAUGUAACUCUUCCUAAAGAAGCAACGGUUACCACAACAAAAGAAAUGUUAGAAAUAUACAUCCAGAAUGAUUUCACUUCAUAUUUGCUAUUUCAAGACUAUAUCCUGUGAACUUUGAUCCUUAAUCAAUCACCUCACGUGUUUUCAGUCGACUACCUAUAAGUGCUUACAUAAAGCAUUCAGCAAGUCAACAAGAUGGAUUAUUUCAUCUUGAGGGGCGAAAUAACCCAACUUUUCCACUAUUUUUAGUAGCAUUUUGCAGUGUUCCAUACUUCCAUUAAUUGAUCCAAUCGGUAUGAAAGUUUUAGCCAUUCUAUUGUCAGUACUAACCAUCUACAUGUAUAUCAUUUCUAAAUACCCUAACUAAGCAACCCAAAGAAGAAAUUUUUGGUCGUAAAUACAAAUACAAUCAUAUUACCAUUCCUUAAAUAUUCUGGAGGAGUGUAUGCAAGAUUCGUACUAUAGCUUUUCCCGUCCCUGCUGUUUUUCAUCAGGCCAAAGCAUGAAAGACGAGGAUCACCAUUCUGCAAAAAUAAAUUACAUUGAUUGUUUAGCCCGCAGAGGAUUACUGCAGUUAGAGAAAUAUGCAACAAGCUGUAAAAUGCAAUCAACAUCAUCCAAAAAAGCAUAACAUAACCAAUAAUAUUCCUAACCAUUUCAAAUCAAUAUACGAUGAUUUUUAUAGAACUCAUGAAAAAGAGUUGACAUUUCGAUUUUGAUAUGUAUUUCCUUCCAACCACUAGAGGUGGAGUACAGGUGGCAACAGACCACUCCCACUUCCAAUGUCAGAUGAAGCAGAGAAAGCAUCCAUGCAGAGGGUAAAAGCUCAAUGGAAUCCUAAGGUACCCUUCCCAGAGGAACAAAGCAAUACUUGCAGCAGCAGCAGAGAUAUUUACAAACAAAAAAAAAGAAAAGAAAAACUCAUUUACUCAGCUUCAUGAUAUUGUAGUAGAUUGGUAAUUUUCAAAAAACAAUUCUAGGGCUGUAGGAUAAAUAAAAGGGGUAAGAAUUAGUUACCUCAUCAAAGAGAACCCUGUAUGCAUUUAGGUCAUGAUACAAAGGCCUUCCCUCAGUGCUGCAAUACUCCAGUGCUUCAGCGAUGUAGUUUGCAACUCUUAGACGCAUAGCCCAUUCAAUUGUCUGGUUUUCCCCUGAAAAAGAGUAAAAUAAAUAUCAGGUAAUGAACUGACGCACAGUGAUGUACAGUUAACUUGUCCAAAAUCAUCAUCCCAUGAAAAGGUCAAUGCAAUCAAGAUUAACAAAAGAGGCAAUUACAUGCCGGCCUCAAUGUUUUGUUUCUAAAGAAACCCAUCAUCAUUUGCAAGUUGAAACCAUUACCAAUAACACCCAAACCUUGCCCAUACACCCUGGGAACAGGCUGUUCAUAAAGCACAAACCCCACGGAUCCAAACAUCUAGUCAAUGCAUCAACUUAUUAAUUUCAAAUACGCAUUGCAGAGCACAAUAUCACUUGCAUUCAUAAUUCCUAAAUUUUACUGUAACAAUAUACGUCCACACUGAAAUCCUGUAAGCUAAUUCUAGUCAUCCACCUGUCCAAAACAAUGAACAGAACAUCUGAACACAGAACAAUGAUGUAGUAAUAUUAUAUCACGUGUUCAAUGCAGCCUGUGCCCUGAUCGGUUUCAAUGGAUUCACACAACGACCAGGCCAACAACAACCAGAUAGGAAUUGGAUAUCACAACGCCUAGCCCAAUCAUUUCGUUCGGUACACCAAAUGCGGGAGGCUGCUAAGCGCCAGCAGUUGCUCAGAGCACGCCGAUUCGUCUUUUUUGCCAACUUCCACACUAAUAAUCAGGGAUCAAAUCAGACGAAGCCAAAAACUAUCGCAGGGUGUAUUUACCGAAAAUGGCCAGCGAAAUAUCCAGAACCAACCAGGAAUCCAGAAAGCGACGCAUCAGAAAUGGACCAAUGGCUAGAGGAUCGGUAGAGCAAACGUACAGUGGAAGAGGUGCUUGGCGAGCGUGUCGUUGGGCAUGAACUCGGCGACUAGCAGGCGCUCGUCCCCGUCGCAGCAGUAGCCGAUCAGGUUGGCCAUCCGGCAGUGGCGCAGCUUGCCGGCCCCCUUGGCCUCCUCCUGCGAGCAAAAGCAAAGGCGUUUCAUUGCAGCGAAUUCCACCCCGAAUCGGGGGGCGCGUACGGUAAUCGAUCCCGAGCCCGCCCCUAGACGUACCGCGAACUGCUUGGCAUCGGGCCAGGCCGCCUUGGUGAACUUCUUGACGGCGAUCGCGCGGCGGCUGUGCUCGAGGCGGCCCUUGUACACGAAAUUCGGCGCCUUCUCGCCGCUCUCGGAGACGAUGUUCUCCGCCACGAAGCCGCCCGUGGCGGCGCGCAGCUCCGCCAGCGAGAACUCCUUGAGCGGCGGCACCUCGCGGCCGGCGGCGCCGGCGCGCGCCGCGGAGGACGCCGUCGACUGGUGCUGGUUGAGCGAGAGGGAGGGGCGGUGCGGGGGGAGCGGCUCCGUCGCCCUCCCCGGCGGCUUCUUCUCCGGGUGCGUCCCCGUCCGCAGCGAGGAGCCGCAGCAGCCCAUCGGGAGUCCACUGGGUGGCUUCAGCCGCGGCCGCGUCUGCGUGGGCGCGCCUGUGGUGUGGUGUUGUGUGGGUUUGGGUUCCCCUGGCUUGCCUGCCGAGUAGCGGAGCAGGGGAAGAGGAGAAAGAGGAGGUGGUGGUUUUGUUCUGGCUUUGGGGUUGGUUGCCUCUGCCUUUGUAUGGGGUGUCGUCCCCUUUUUCGCUGCCGCGGUAAGCCGCCGUGCGUGCGCGCGCCGGGUGCGUCGCUGUCCUGGCCUACCUACGAGGACGAUCCUACUCUUGAGCCUUGACAAAGUUUCAACUCUCAAUUCAUGGCUUAACAAAUAAUGAUAACAGCGUUAAUAGUAAAUGAAAAAAUUUGUGUUGUGGAAGUGGCGCACAGUUUGAAACUUGGAGCGAAGAGAUCUAGCAAGCGUUACAAUGCCGUUGGAUUGGAUUACGCUAUCCAAUUUACAUGGCGUGUGGCAUCAUAGAUAGCGUAAAAGUGUCCCGUAAAAGUGUAACGGUGGACAUCCGUUACUUAAAAUAACGAACAACGCUGUUGAUAGUAACGGAGAAAAUUACGAUGCGAGCGUUACCGCACGCGUGCCAUAUAAUACUAAAAUCCAAAUUCAUGUGAUCUAACAGCAGGUUAGGUCACGUGCAAAGUUACGUUAUCCAAAUUAUGUUCGAUGUUGUGUGGCUUAUGUAUAACCUAAAUUGUAACAUUUUAAUGUCGUUAAAACCAACUAGAAACAACAUUAAUAGUAACGGAGAAAACUUAUGUCGGCGCAUCUGCAUACAUACCGUGCAAUAACCGACCUAAAUCGUGCCAUGUGGCAUCUCUAUAGCGCCAAUAGAUUUGAUCACGUAAAGCACCACGUCCUACAUUUGGUAGAUGUUAUGCAGUUAACUUGUAAUUUUCCAUGUAGGUUGUUCGAAAUGCUCCUUGCUAUUAAAAGGUUCUCAACUUUUGUUCUUUUUCCCUUCCUCCAGCGCUUGAGAUCUUGGAGCCGUGUUGGCAUCAAUUAGAGACGCCGCUUACAUUUGGAAAGAAAACAUUCAACUCUGGUCGGUGUACUAGUUUGCAAGGAUGACAAAGUUUCCCAUUUGAGUGUAUUUUUAGGGGAUUUUCCAUUUGUGUUUUGAGGCUCUGCUGUGAGCAUGCUUGCUCGCGCCCUGCUGGAGUCAACGGCUGUCUUCGCUGGUUUUCGUACUCGCACCGAUUGAUGGGUUCGGAAGCAAACAAGGCACGCCCGUACGUAGGUUGGGACGGAUAGGGAACGAGCCGAGCGCGCCACGCAAAUCUGUCUGCCCGGAUUACGCGUCAGGCGCCGGAGCCAGCCAGCCAUCCCUCCCGUCCCGGGCUGGCUGGAUGCCGUGGGCCGCGCGUCUCCACCUGCAGCGCCCCGCGCAUCCGGCGACCGUGUCGCCGCCGUGCCAGGUCUCCGCGCAACUUUCUGGCCACCCCGCGCUGCCCGCUAGCGUAAACCCGGCACGAAACGGACGUCCGUUCGGCAACGGGCGCCGCGGCAGUUUUAGCAGAGGAGACGGGACGGGGCAACCGUAAACCUUUUCUCCGGGUCAGAGGAACGGUUACUGUGGGUUUUGCAACUGAGAUGCAUAAACGAAGCAGUUGAUAAAAAUCUGCUAAGAAAAGGCUUCAGUUUGCCCUUUUUCUCUGCUACGGUAUGAUUGAGUGAAAUGUUUAGGGGGUGUUUGAUCCUUGACAUAGAGUUUAGCCAGGUGACAUCGAAUGUUUAUAUGCUAAUUAGAAAUAUUAAACAUAGGCUAAUAAUAAAAAUAAUUGCAUAAAUGAGGGCGAAUUCACGAGACGAAUCUAUCAAACUUAAUUAAUUCAUAAUUAGCACAUGUUUACUGUAGCAUCACAUGCGCUAAUCAUGGACUAAUUAGACUUAAUGGAUUCAUCUUGCAAAUUAGCUCUCAUUUAUGCAAUUAUUUUUGUCAUUAGCCUAUAUUUAAUACUUCUAAUUAGCAUCUAAACAUCCAAUGUGAUCCGAGCUAAAUUUUAGUCUAAGGAUCCAAACACCCAAAUAGGAGUUAAAAGUGAUACGUUUAGCUCUUUUUUCCGGGUCAGAGGAACACUGUUACUGCAGGUUUUGCAACUGAACGGCAUAAACGAAGCACUUAGUUGCUAGAAUGGCGUAAAAACCUACUACUGGUAAAGCUUGAAUGGCUGUAAAUAGUUGCUAGAACCGAAGAGUAUUUGCCUGACCGAAAUGUUUAGCAGGAGCGGGUAGUGAAAAUUUUAGUAGGAUUUUACACAGUUACUUUUUUUUCUGCAUUUUGUAAACUAAAAAUAGUACAAUAGUCAAUUAAAGAACCGUUCAAAUCACAAAGAUGGAUGGAUCCAAGGAAGGAGUCUGAACAGCAAAGCAGCUCUCGAGUCUUCAAAACCCUGACCCCAGGAUAUGAAAACACCUGCAUUUGAAAGAGACUUUCAUUUUUGAAUUCCACGAUUCACACGCACAAGGACACAGUUCAUUUGUUUAUAAUGUACUAAAGCUAUUCUACGAUCCCCAGGAAUGACGGCGAUUUGUUUAACGAGUCAGCUGCAUGAUCGGAACACUUCAAGUCUCCCGGGUGACCUCGCUUGACCUGCUGACCAGGUCAGGUCGGUCACCGGUCUUGAGCUCCUACGGCAACGGCAACGGAUCCACCGGCUUUCAGUUUGAACCCUUGUGUACGAAGACCAAAAGGCAAGCCGUGACCAGGUUCCGCGUUUUGGUUCCCACACUGUCGCGGGUAACUCAUAAACUGAACAGUGGAUUGCGCUGGCACAAAUCUAAAGCAAGCUAACACCCGUUUCUUUCAGUUUCGGACCUUCUAGGUAACUUUCGCGAAGCAAUUCGAAGCACACCUGAUGGUCACCGCUACGUAGUCGCCUCCUGUCUCCGACAUCUUCCGCUACGAGAAAAGUUGGGCGCUCGACCCCGAGUUCCAACGGCUCGUGGUGGGCGUCUGGGCCCACCCCCAGAAUCAACGAGGGAGCAUCUCCGAUUGCGUCUGCCGCAGCUUCAAGUGGACGCGCGCCACGUACAAGAAGUGGGCGCGCAGCCGGCAGCCGUCAUGGUGGCUUGCCGCGCGGUUCUCGAGCUCCUGGACCUCCUGGAAGAGCGUCGUCCCCUCAUCGCCGCCGAAGCCCUUGUGCGCUCCCUGGUCAAGGCGCGCCUUGCACGUGCUGUCCACGAGCACAACCUCUGCUGGCACCACCGCUAUAGCAUCAAGGCAUGUAAACUCGGUGACCAAAACACCGCGUUCUACCACGCCUCUGCCUCCGCGCGACUCCGCAGCAACAAGAUUCAAGUGCUGCACGAUGACGGUGUCCCCGUCUCCUCCCACGCCGACAAGGAGCGCGCUCUGCACCGGUACUACUUGGACCUGCUCAGUGACGCCGUCCCCAUCACCUUCCCCAACGGUGCUGCGCGGAUUCUCCCUUCCGUGUCGCACCUUGACGCCCUGGAGGCUCCGUUCACCCCCUCUGAGGCCAAGACGACGCUCUAGCAAAUGCGCACCGCCAACAGCCCUGGCCCCAACAGCUUCGGCCCCGCCUUCUUCCGCUAGUUCUAGCCGACCAUGGGCGACACAGUGCUGGCAUGGCUCUCCUUCUUCCACGACGGCAUAGUGGACCUGGCGCGCGUCAACCAAGCUCACGUUGUGCUCCUGCCUAAGAAGCAUAGGGGUCGUCACCGCCAAUGGCUUCCGACAGAUCAGCCUGCAGAAUUGUGUGCCGAAGCUCACCGCCAAGAUCCUCACCAACCGCUUGCAAAGCGUCGUCCCCGCGCUCAUCUCCGACUACCAGAUAGGCUUCGUCAUGGGGCGCUCCAUCACGGACAACUUCCUGCUCGCCACGGAACUUGUCUAGUGCUGCCGCGUCCAGCGUGUCCCCACCGUAGUCCUUAAGCUUGGCUUCCGCAAAGCUUUCGACUUGGUUAGUUGGGAAGUUCUCGACCGUGUUCUCGAGCUUCGCGGCUUUGGGGACACGUGGCGUGGCUGGAUGCGCAAUCUCCUCUCCACCGGACGCACGGCGGUGUCCUCAACGGGGACACCGGGCCUUGGAUUCAAUGCUGACAUGGCUUGUGGCAAGGCGAUCCUCUCAGCCCCUACCUCUUCAUCAUCGUCACCGAUCUCCUACACAGGAUGCUCGUUGACCCUUGUGGUGACGAGCCCCUCCUUCACCCCCUCAUCGACGACCUCCCCUGUCCAGUGAUCCAGUAUGCUGACGACACCCUUGUUCUGGUCCGGGCAGAGAAGGGGCAGGUGCGCCGUCUCAAACAAUUGUGCAACUCCUUCGCCACCGCCGCGGGACUCGCCAUCAACUACCACAAGAGCAUGUUCGUCCCUGUGCACGUCGCCGCCACCAGCGCCGACGCCCUUGCUGGCAUCCUCGGCUGCCCCGUUGCUACGUUCCCCCAAAGCUACCUGAGCCUCCCCCUCUCCGACAAGAAGCUCCCCACGUCCGUGCUCGACGCCUUCGCGAUUAGGGUUGAGUGCUGCAUCCCCUCCUAGCAGGUGCACAUCCUCAAUCGCGGGGGGCGACUCAUGAUGGUCAACUCCGUCCUCUCCGCCCAAAUCACCUAGGUCGCCACCGUGCUGCAGCUGCCUAAGUCCACGAUGGAGAAGGUGGACAAGCCACGCCGUGGAUGCUCUGGAAGGGCGUGGCCUUGUGCACCGGGGGCGACUGCCAAGUUGCCUGUCCUAUGGUGUGCCGGCUUAAGGAAGAAGGUGGCCUCGGCGUCAUUGACAUCGAGGUUCAGAACACUUGUCCCCUCCUCAAGACGGUGGACAAGCUCCAGUAGGGCAGCGACAACCCCUGGCGAACUGGGUUCGGUUCUGGUACACGCCGGAACGCGCGUCGCGCCCCACGCCCUGCUGGCGGACAUUCCAGCAUUUGUUUCCCAUGUACAGGGGCAUCACCACCGUCGUCCUCAGUAGCGGCACGGCGACCUCCUUCUGGAUCGACAAUUGGACCUCGCUUGGCCUCCUCGAUCAAGCUUUACCGGCCUUGUUCUCCAACUGCCUCGAGCCCUACAUUACGAUCGCCGCCGCCUUCGCCACCAGGGCCCUCGUCUUGCCAUUGUGGGAGCGCCUCUCUCCCGCGGCCAGUGACGAGCUCGCGACCCUCGUCUCUCAGCUGAGCGGCCUGCACCUUGGUGUCGCCCCUGACACCCGUCGCCUGGCUUAGAGGGAUGAGAUCGACGUGCGCUCAGGCGCCCUCUACUCCAUGUUGAAGCGGACGGGCUGCAUGGUGUCGCACUCCGACGUCAACUAGGGGAACUUCGCCCCAAUCAAGGUCUGGGUCUUUUUCUGGAUCUUCCGAUAGGGGAACACGCACACGCGGAACUUUCUCCACUGCCACGGCGCCACGGGCAGCCCCACUUGUCCCUUCUGCACCGCUGACAAGGACGCCGCCCACAUCUUCUUCACUUGUCCACGCAUCACCAGCUUCUGGAGCUCGGCGUGCCCUCACGCCUCCGUCACCUGCCUCGCCAGCGCGCUUCAAGCUCUACCGCUCCCAGCGGGGGCGGCCCUCCACACCGCGAUGCUGCUCCUCUUGUGGGUGAUUUGGAAUCGCCGCAACAGGAUGAUCUUCGACGCAGUCGACCAGCCCGUCGCUGCCAUCGCCCAAGCCGCCAAGGAACACCUCGCCCUCUGGGUGCAUCGCGCUCCCCGCCGCCUAGACACCCUCCUGCUCAAGUCCUGGUGCUCUAAUCUUUGUGUGAUAUAGCGCCUAUGCUGCUUCAUCUCCCCCCUUUACAAAAACAUCAGCCCCUCAAGCUAGGUUGUAAAAUGAAAAUCCAUCAGCUUCGGCCAGACGUUCAGGUGGACGUGCUCUGCCCCAGUUGGUCCUUCAAAAAAAAUUCGAAGCACAUCACACUACUCCUAUUCUUUUCUCUUUUUCUGCCUUGCAGGCCAGUGCUCAAAACGCCAGUCCUAUUCCGGUCACACGCUGAUCGGCCGGUUGCUAAACAAUGGUGCUGGCUGUUCUCCACUGGCAAGUACAACGGGUACGAGCACCAUCCACCGAUGCAGGACAAGUCGGCCCAAUUUUCAAUGCGAGCAGCUGAUCUGGCUCGCACACGGACAACUUACGCCACCAUGCCGCCGUGUUACGUACUCCCCCACCUCAACCCAGGAGGCCACUAGCAGUGGCUACUAUACGGACGCGUUUAUUUUAGCGAGGAUUAGGCAGGCAGGAGCAGCCUUUGUUACUGCCAGGCUGCCCUAGCCUUUGCUCUGCCUGCUGCUAUCACUGCUAGCGCCCAGUUGCCCCGAGGCCAGAGUGGUACUCGUAGCACGCACGAACUCCAUUAACAAUUCAGCAUCGGCUGCGCCGCCAGCUAGCCGUCCUGGCCGGCGAUCUCCUCCGUCUACUGUCCUGGACUCCUGGUGCGUGCGUGCCCUAGACUUAGAGCCACCAAAAGGUUUCCUCGAACAGAUUGAUGAAUUCCAGUGCCAGUGCUCACGUGCACUGACAGCCACGGUUGAGGUUAAACAAGUCUGAGGUGGCGGAAGAUUAGAGCAGGGUUGCCACAGAUGGUUGGAUGGGUUCCAAGUGGCUUCAUAGUUUAGUGUAGCUACUAAGUUCGCUGCCAUAGCAGUAACUACAAGCUGGGUGCUUGACUGCUUGAUUGGGGAUUAUUCAGACUCUCACAGCCGUUCGUGAUAGGCUAGUGUGAUAGGGGAAUACAUGUGAUUUUCUUUAAUUAGGAGGCUACUUGGUUAUUAUGUAGUAUAGGUUUAGCUUGCUGCCUGUGGUAAGCCGUAGCACGUGCUUAUUCGUGGAGGGCUAUGCUUUUUUAAGGGACUACAGACAUGAUACAUGCCGUCCAAGGAGCCCUCCUCACUUACUACUUCGCCUGCUAAUCACCUCUGCUACCGGGCUAGAAAAAGGUUUAGAUCGCAUAUUGGGGGUGAGAAAUCACAGAGUGCAGCGAGAACUCGUCCAAUGUGGUUAACAGAAAAUCCCAUGUCCAGGGAGUAAGGAAUGCCCUGUUCAAUCGCGUAUUUGGGUAUCCGCUUCUACACUGUUACCGAAGAAAAAACAUCGGAUUAUUGCAAGUACUCCUAUAUCCGUCCAUGAUGUAAAAAAAGAGGCACGUUCAUCAUCAGUUGAUGCAUGCACGGCUAGAUGUUACGCAUCUAAUUAUCCAGCUUGAGUGAUGCUCCGUGUCUUGUCUUUCAGCACGUACUGAUCUGAAUCGUGAAAAGGGAAAACCAAACGGAACGUGUGAAAUACAUCUAUCGGCCACGGCAUCUUAAGAUUGAUUAGAGAAUAAUUGUUCCAACUUCCCACACAAGUGGGCGCUAGCUAACUUGCUCGGAAAGCUCCGACGAGCAUCGGUGGCAGCUGAUGUGAGGGAGAUUAAUCACUGAUGAUGAUGACUAAAUUAGUGAAGUGUGGCUCUGAAGAAAAGGAAAGUGUGUAAAGGUUAUAGUACUCCACCAUAUCAGUUAUGGUACUGGAUGCUGGACGACAAUAACAAGCUCCCUACUGGACCUAGGAGCCAUCUCUUUCUGAUGGUACGUGCCGACAUUGUAGAUAGAGUAAUCGACGGAGCUUAAUUGCGACGGCACCUGAUUCGCGCUGCACCACACGUCCAUCAAUUCAGUUUCUAGCUAGUACUAACCCCCCAUCAUCUCGACACCGGACGCUCACCAGCCUCGCGACUGGAUAACGGGGGAAGCACCCCAUCGCCAUUGCCGCCCGUGUGGAAGAGACGAGGAGUUCUGAUUUCAGUAUCCAGACGCAUCCUUUUUUUCGUCUUCUUUUUCUUGAAAUUCCACGUACGCUCUAAUAACUAGUAAAGCUUGCGUUCCCCACUGAAUCUGAAUGAUUGAUUAGUCGCUCCGAUCCCCACCAGAAAAGCACGCGGUUAGCACACCAAAUCCGAGUCAAUGAUUAAGCACGAAGGAGAGGGAGGAGAAUAUCCUCAGAUAAGAGGACAGCGACAUGUACCGAACCACACCAUCCCGAGCGCACACACCUCUGCAGGGGUUAGCUGCCUAAGCAGGUGUGUACUCCAUCUCUCUAUUCGAUGGGCUUUGCUUCGCGGGAUCAACCGAUCUCUCUUGCCUGGUUGGGUUCUGCUCGAUCGUAACUUGAUUUUCAUGGCACGCAUGCAAAUCAAACAAAACUAGAUGGCCCGCGCUAAUAGCACGGGUAGCUAGUUUUUUAUACCAUUAUCUGGGUGCUUUAUUUCAAAAUAAACAGACAUAAAUAAUUGUAUUUAGUCGUGUCAUGAUAAAAGAUCAAUAUAUUAUCAUAUAUCUUUUUUAACAUGAAUUAGAAAGAAAAGGUAAUACCUUAGAUAUAAACAUAUUUUUUGGGUAUUUACUGAAACAACAUAAAAAUUUAUACAUUUUUCACUUGAAUAUAAUUGUUUAUAUAUUUUUUAUUUGUGAUGUACAUUUUCGUUUGCUAUGAUUAAAAAAUCCUUAUAUUUUAGUAGAAUGUUCAACGUAUACUACAAAAGUAAUAAUUUAAUUUCGAGUUUGACCCUUUUAGUUAUUAUUAUAUCGAAAUCUCCAUUCCUUUCUUUGUUCUUUGAUCACCGGUUGCCACAGCCCAUACAUGCAUAAUCCCAUUUUGGCAUACGGUUGUUGCACCUUUUUCCUAAUUAUAAACUCUACCCUUGGGUCCGUGAAUACGUUGCUGUGGCUACCAAACUAUAUAUUAUUAGUCUUUGUGCUCACCACCUCUCUCUCUUGCUUCUACUCUGAAGGAGCGUUGUCCGCUACGUUGUGGUCACCAAAGAUAGAUCCUUGAUUGUGACUGUUGUUCCCUCCCGUGAGACAUGCUAUGGCGCGCAUGCCAAACAUCAAUUUUCUUCACUAUUUAACACGAUUAUUUUGGAAUUUCCACCUUGUGGUUGGUGUCGUGGCCCUCAAGUUGCUCCACCAGAUCAUUCACUAUGUUGCUGGAUCCAACCACUAUUUCAUCAAAUCGACAACCUUUGUCUCCUGCGAGUGCCCCAUCGCCCAAUCGCAGGCAACAAUUACGGUAAACCGGUGAGUUUUAAGCUAGGGACAGACAAGUUGGUUGUAUUUUUUCUCAUUAGUUUCGUUACGGUUGUUAGCCUAGCCCUACUCGCCAAUGGUGGCAAAGGUCGGCAGCAAACAACAGUACACAAUUGCAUAUAUAGCUCGUGGCACAUGAAAAUAUUUAACCCGUUGUAGGGUGAUUAUUUUGCUGGUCAAGGUGAUCCUUUCUCAACAUGGACGCGUGUGAAUGGAGUUGGCUGAUCGUUGAUCACUACUAUAGAAAAGGUUAUCACGAAUGGGUCAUCACUGGUAGUUCUAUCCAAACUGGUGGUGAUAAGUUUUCAUGCCAGUUCAUGAGUAGCUAGCGCGUAGUGGAAUCGAUUUCACCGCCGGUUCAUGGUAUAACCCGUCCGUGACCCAUAGCCCUUCUAUAUCAUAUCAAUAUCCAUCCCCUUCUCUUCUCCCCUUCCUCCCUUUUACCUUCGGAUGCGCACCUCUCCCUCCCCACCUCUGAUCCCCCGCGCAAAUAGCGCAGGUAGCUAGUUUUUUAUGCCAUUAUCAAAAUAAAUAGAUAUAAAUAGUUGUAUUUAAUCAUGUCAUGGUAACAGACAAAUAUAUUAUCAUAUAUCUUUUUAAACAUGAAUUAGAGAGAAAAGGUAAUACCUUAGAUACAAACAUAUUUUUUGGUAUUUAUUGAAACAAUAUAAAAAUUUAUACAUUUUUCACUUGAAUAUAAUUAUUUAUAUUUUUUAUUUGUGAUGUAAGUUUUGUUUGCUAUCAUUACGAAAGUCCUUAUAUCUCCCUCCCCACGUCUCUCUCACCCCCUCCCAUCACCCCUCCGCUCGCCCCUCACUGGCAAUGAAGACCAGCGGCGAGGCACAAGGAGCGGGCAGGGAUGGUAGGCACGGGUGGCGGCAACGGCGGCGGCGGGCGCGGGCAUGGGAUGCAACAACGACAGAAGAUGCAGGCCACAACUGCGGGCAUGUGCAAGGGAUGCAGCGACAACGAUGGGGACUCCGUCCUCUCACGGUACUCUCUAUCUCUCUCUCUCUCUCGCUCCCCCCCCCAGCUACUGCAGUGGGUGACAGGGCUCCGGUAGCGUGGAAGGACUCUAGCGGUGCCUUUUUAUUUUUUAAUAGGCUUCACUGUCGGUUCAUGGUCCGGCGGUGAUGAAACACUACCACCACCGAUCGAAAUCCAACGGGAGGCCAAAGCGGCGAUGAUAUUGGAUUUAGGGCUGGCGGUGAUAGGCUGGUUUGGAGUAGUGGAUGGAAAUGCGUGAGGCUAGCGCGGUGGGCUCAUCAUCGUGUAACCACUUAGUGAAGCUGGUCAGAUUUGUCCCAAGUGUUCUCCUCACACGUCCCAAUGGUUACGAUGGCCGUCUCACUAUCAUUGGUGCCGGCAUGGCCCUCUUUCUUGGUGAUUUUAUCGUCAUGAUCCUUCUUAUGUUUUCUCCUUCUAAUCUAUCGCCUGCACUGUGGCUUUGCUAUCUUGCACAAAGCUACACUUUUGAGUCUGUUAUGUUGCAUAAAGCUGCCUGUAUUUGUAAUGCAAUCUGCUCCUGCCUACGUCCGCACUUCUGUUGUCGGGUGUCCGAUUUACGCACUUUGCAUCUCACUACUGUUCUAUCUCGUGGCCUUGAGAUGCCAACUGAAGUCCAACGAAAUGCUAGGUUUGGUCUCCUUUCAAAACUACACCAAAUUAAAUUGGAUGAGUUUUGGUCACAUCACAAAGAUACAUACUUUAAUUGAGAAACGACCAAUUUCCAAACACUUUUUUAUGACCCAUGCUAUAUCUUAUCAUCAUGGAGUUCGUGGAAGAUUCAAACAUGUUUUAUUUCCAUCCCAUACAAUAUUUUUUACAAAAAAUUCUUAUUUUAGUUUCCAAAAUUACAUAAUUAUUGAUGCAUUGAUUUGAACUCUUUGAUCGAAUUAGUCUAGAUCAUAAUAAAUUCUAACGGUGUAUUUUUUUCCUUAACAUUCCUUUUCUCUCUCCUUGAUUUCAAUCGUUCAGUCAAAACUGGUCGGAAUCCGGAAUCAUUUUCCUAUAUAUCACCUCUCCUACCCUUGCGUGCUGCAAGCAAAGCAAAGCAAGCCAAUGAUAGUGAAUAAAUAUGGAACCAACUUUCGUUCACUCUUUUAAUAAAUAUAUGUAAGAUGAGCAAAAUUGGAUUAUCUUGCUGCCAUCGUCGAGCUCUUGCAUGAAACUAUCCAUCAUUACUGUCGAUCUCAUGGAUGAAACCAUCCGCUGAUGCUAUCAUGUUCGUAUCAAGUUUGUGUAUAUGAAAUCAUAUUACAUUGCUCCCGCUGUGCUCGUGGUGAGGGGCUCAAUCCCCAUGGCAAGAGCAUUAAUUCUGACAACAAUUUGCCUGUCCAAGGUGGUUGAAUUUUUACCAAAGCAUAUACCACGCCGACUAUAUCUUAGUAGCACCUUUAGAUAAAAUUCAAUCUCUUAUUUUAUCUCGACCUUAUCGAAGAGAAAUUAUGGGGACUGAAAUGGGUUUUUUUAUAGUUCAAACGUUGAUUUUCUUCUUGAUUCCUCGACUGAGAAGAUCUUUCUUCCUGUCGCCGUAUCUAUUAUAAUACUUUAUAUUUUUCAGCUUAGAUUUCUUUUCAUCUACGGAGAUAUUAGAAUUUGCUCCAAUUGACAUUUUGGAUACGUGACAGUGAAUCUUAUAGUAAGGUGGUCCGCGCUAAUUAGUGCAGCUAGUUAGAUUUUUUUGUUCUUAUUUCUUAUUUUUUUUCUACAUGUAACAAUGUUCAGUCCGGCGGCCGGGUCCGGCCGCCGGGUGAUGCACUGCUGGUCCAGGGCACCGUUGCAGGGGGUUAGGGGACCUCACCGCUCGAGGGUGCAGUGGGCUCGCACGGUGCCGCCUGUCCUUGAUCAUGAACAGCGAAGGGAAGCGGCAGUCGUCGUGACGAUGUACGGAUGCACCGGCAGCGAAGCGAUCUGCUCUCGCUCGUCGUCGGUGGAAGCCGCGGCAACAAAUUUUCUCCCUUGGCCAAUUGCCAGUUACCACCCGUGGUCACAGGGUACCAAAUCAGCUUAUCAGCCUGGAAGGAAAGAAAGGAGCAGAGCACGCAGGCAUAGAUGGAAGGAUUAGCGAGAUUAGGGGAGGGUGACGGGCAACAGGCAACGUGAACAAAAAAAAAACGACGGACAUGGCAAUAGGAGUCCACAGUCCUAUUGCCAUAUUGGUAUAUUUCUUUUAAAUUUCUAAUUCAGCUAUUUAGUAAUUGUAUUUUGUAUGGAACCUUUAAAUUAAUAUAGAUAGUUAGAUUUUCAUAAAAUUCAAUGGUGUAUAUUCAAAUUCAGUUGUUUAGUAAUUGUACUUUGUAUGAACCUUUAGAUUAAUAUAGACCGUUAGAUCAUCAUAAAAUCCAACGACUUAUAUUCUUCUCUUUUUCAGAUUAACGUGGGAAUUUCUAGACCCUCUUGACGAACGUGGUGACUUCUUUAAAUACUAUUGUAUUAAGAUGUGGCCCGCGCUAAUAGCGUGGCUAGAUUCAUUACAUACUUAGUAAUAUAACUAUGUCUAUUACAUUGUUGACUUUGAAGUAACCGCUUUGAUGCUAUAAAGAAGUGACACCUUCUAUGUCACGGCUUUUCUCAUUAACUUGUUGAGCUCAUCAAGUUUAUGUAGGAUUCUUCAUACUCAAUCAUAUUGGAUGACCAUUCAGCUUACCAAAUUAUCCUUCACUAAAAAUAUAAAUAUAUUAGUUUAUAAAUAGAGGUUGGCAUUUCACCACUCUCAAAAUGAUCCCGACCUAAUUUAUAAUUAACUUAGGUCCAUUAAAAAUUUAAAACUAACAUUGUAAUUAAACUGUAAUUGAAAAGUUAUUAAUUCAAAGAUUUUUCAUUUCACCUCUAAUGAUUUCCUAACUCAAAUCAACCUAACAUAAUAAUUGCAUAACCUCUUUUGCUUAGUUGAUUAGUAAGGACAUUUGUAUGUUGCAUGCUCCCUCCGUCCCGUCGUUAUGGCUUUUCUAGAAAUAUAGUUUUUGCUAUGCACCUAAAUACAGUAUAUGUCUAGAUGCAUACAAACAUCUAUGAAUCUAGAAAAAACUAAAACAACUUACAAUUUAAAAUGGAGGGAGUACCUAUUCCAGCUUAUAUGUCAUGAGUGCUAGUCUUUUGUAGUUGCUGUAGAUUGCAGACAUGCCCUAUGUUUUCCGGCAUGCUGCCUCUUGCCCUGUAUUUGGUAGUUGCUGUAGCUUAUCUAUCCCUCCCUCCCUACCUCUCUCUCUAGCUUUUGCUGUGUAUUUGAUCGUCAAAACCGUGCUUAAAUCACUCAAAUUUCUGUACCCAGCAAUUAAUAGAGACGGGGUCACUUGUGGCUCCCACGCUACUUAUUUAGGCUGCACAAACCAUCCUAUCUUGCUUGUUAACGCAAGGCGUCAUCGACUCCUCGCGCUAUCCAUCGUGGCUUGAAUAUUUUCACCUUUACAUGAACAAAAAUACUCACCAAACCGAAGCUCUAAUAGAUGUAUAUCUUGCAUUAUCUGUAGUAAGCACACAACAGCCAUUUAUGUUCUCGCGUGACCUGCCAUGGCACACUUAUACAUGGUGUCUCCGAUCAUACAAAAGUAACUGACAUCCUUAAGUAAAUUUCCAUAUGGCGCGCUCCUAUAUGGCUCUUCAAGCCAUUUUAUUGCCAUAUCUUGUCAUAGGCAUGAUAUAAAAGUUUCCCUCUUCUUCAAACUCGACCGGGCAUAAUAGUAUUUUGUUUUGCUUUGUUUCCACCGGGCAUGCUCGCUUCUCAUCUCAGAGUAAUAGCCGGUGGUGACUAAUCCUGCCACAUGCAGCUAUGGGCAGGCACCUGGCAGCCCCCGUUGUGGGCACUGGUCAGUCCGUUUUUCCACCUGGCAGCCCCAUCCUGCCGGUACCAACUUUUCCGUCGUUGUCCAUCCUCAUGCCCCACAAACUUCUCCCAAAACAAAGUUCUUCAUCGCCGAAUUGAUCUGCGUGACCCUGAUCAAAUUUCUCCUCGCAGGGUUGAGCUCCUCGAUGUUCAAUUGAGUUCCUCAUCUCAGAUUUAGAUCAACGACUAAUCAAUGUUUCAUGGCAUAGAAUGAGCUGCUUUUGCCAAAUUGAACUCCCCCCCUCCCUCUCCUCCCCCCCCCUCCCUCUCCCUCUCUCCCUCCUCCCUCUCCCUCCACCGCUCAUGCGCCCGGUGUUUCUUCAUUAUUCCUCCCUCUCCCUCCACCCCUCAUGCGCCCGGUGUUUCUUCAUUAUUCCAUCAAAUUCAUCCAACAAUUUGUGGCAUGUUGUGUGCUCGCAUCGAUAAAUGGUUAUCUAAUAUUGCUAGAGCUAUUGUACGCUGCUAGGACAGCAUGUAUGCUAAAACCGAAGACAUAUAAAUUCCAUAGAAACAACAGAAUAUAGUGCGAUCUAUUUUUAGUCCUCAAUAGUCCUAAUAGAUUUUGAAUAUGAUAUUACGAUUGGUUUGCACCGUUAUAACUUGGGUGAGCUUAGAUCAGCUGAUAAGGUUCCUUGUGAUGGAACUUUCUCACUAGGGUUUGAGUCAUCAGCUCAACAUCAUUGCUAGUAUUUUUUUGAUUUAUUCUAGAAUUUAAUUAGACUAUGACAUGUCCAUCGAUAGCGAGGUGCUAGUGGUGACUUCAUCAAUCUCGAGAAUCUGCCAGCUCAGUCUCUCGGAGGUGCUCAUAGGUAGGGUUGCGUGCGUGUAUUCAUAGGGUUGAGUGUGCGUGCAUUUGUGAACGUCUGCGUCUAUACCGUGUUUUGCAAAAAAAUACAAUCAGUUGGCAUUUUUUUAUUUAGAUAUUCGUAAUUGCAUUUCAUGUGAAUCAUUUAUUUAGGUAUUAUUUUUUUGCACGGAGCUUAAACUACUAACCUUUCAUAAUCAGUUGGCAUUUUUUUAUUUAGGUAUUAUUUUUUGCACGGAGAUUAGGUUCUUUCGUUUUUUUAUUAACGUGAUAAUUUAUGUGUCCUCUUGAUGAAUGUGGUGCCUUUUUUUUAAUACUCUUUAUUAAGAUAGCUUAUUUUCAUAAAUCUAGCAAAAAGUAGUGUUACUAAUUUGACCGUAUUUAAUCCAUAUGGACACCAAAACAUUCGGUAAUUAGUACAAACCAUUGCCGCCCUUCCUUUCACACAUAAACACACAAAGAAAAAAAAUGGAAAAGAGAAACGCAAUGCAAUCAGGUUGAGUAGCAUUGAACGGAUCUGUGUGUAUCAUCAUUUGAUGAAAUGCCUAAUUAGUAUUUUAGCAGGGAGAACUAAUAAAUAUCCAUCAUGUGAAGCUUUGUAAUUUAUUAAUUAUAUUUGUUAUCGACUAUUUAUUAACUAUUUUACUUUUCCAAUCCGUGUAAACAUCAACUACUAAAUUCCUUAUUUUUUAAAUUUUUAAUUCCGAAUUUGUGUAUUUAUUAAUUGUGUGCGUAUUCGACGUAGACUCUUUAGGCUAGUCUAGACCGUUAGAUUUUCGUAAAAUCCAACGGUGCAUAUUCUUCUCUUUUUUCGAUUGAUAUGAUAAUUUCCAGCCCCUUUCAGUACACAUGGUGGUUUCUUUUGAUACAACAGAUAGAUGGACAGCAUGCGACUGAUAACCUGACCUUAUAAGUCGGAAACAAUUCGAAAACCCGACGACUUUGGCCAAACAAACGGCAACCAGAUAGCCUCACCUACCGUUUGUCGUUUGCGACGGAGCUCGACGUAGCUUUGCCUUUGCUUCGCCGGCCAAUAGCUCGACGGGAUGGGACGGGACGGGCAGGUGCCGUUCCGGAAAGCGGAAAAGGGUUGCGGCUCGGCUUCAGGUGCUCGUCUACGCGGGAUUCGCUGACAACGCCCAGCCGCCACGCCACGCUCUCUCUUUCUUUUCUUUUCUUUCCCCCCACCAUCAGGCAUCAGCGAGCGCGUUGCUCUCGAUGCGCUGCGCUCCUCGGCUCGACACGUUCCCGCGGCUGGCGCCCGACGGCAUCGGCUCCGGCGCUGGCGCGGCGGAACGAGUGCUCUGCUCAUCGGCGCCCAAAGGCAAAGGGUGAACAGAACUGGGGUGCCAGAGCCUGGCCUGGCCACCGGCGGCCGGACGUACGGGCUGCGAGGACUGCAGGAAGGAAGCAGUGCUCCUUGGGCUUGGGCGCACGGUUAAUAACUCUCGGAUGUGACGGGUGACCACAGCAGCACGGUUAAUAACUAUCGGAUGUGACGGGUGCUGCACAGUACUGCUGUCCUCUCUCCCUCUCUCGUCGUGCACCCUCGUGUUCGAUUCUAUUCGGCCCACUGACACCUUCGGGCUUUGCUCAUCAUCAUAUACUCCUACGUGUGUGGUACUGCUACCAUUUGAGGCCCAAAUACGUCGAGUUGACUGUUGAGGCGCUAGGACGUUUCACAAAUUCUUUACCACAUCACAAAUUACAAAGGAGAAUCCUAGUAUCCAAACACAGGUAUAAUGACUACUGAUUGAACUAUAUUUCCAGCAAAAAAAAUGUUGGUUUCUGUUUUAUCCGGAUCCUCAAUGGUACGAUGGAGCAACGCUGACGGGAUCAUGCAGCCCAAAAGUCCAGUACUUGGCUGCUGUCCUGGUCUGAUGCAUUAUUCACCGACAACUGUACGUGCCGCACCAUCAUCCACCAUCGUGUUUGCGUCCCACGUCGUCAACUGGUCGUGUCAUGUGUCAUAUCGAUCUCUCGUGCCUAAAACGUGACGUGAGGAAAAGAGUUUCGGUUCGGUGCUCGUCGUCCCGUCAGGCUUGUGUGAUCGCAGGCCCCAUAUGGUUUGGUUGGGGAUGGAGUUUUCGGCCCAGAGAAGCAAAAGCGCGAACGAACACCUACGACAAGUGAUUUUGGGCCGUGUCGGCUCGCGGUAGCGAAUUUGAGAAUUAACAGUCUUUUCCCAUUUCUAUUGGAUGUUGUUGUUUUCCAUUUUCUGUGUUUUUUUUAGAUCAAAGAGUUUUCCAUUUCUGUGCUUGAUGAGGAUUUAUGAGCGCACCCUACAGCUAAAGGAGUACCGUUUUCUUCGGUGUUUAGCGUUUUCUGUACUAGCACAACCGAUUGAUGGAUGGGUUCAAAAGCUAAAGAUGUACGUUAGGACGUCGUGGAAGGAAACCUUUUAGCGACAUAUUACCACCACCUGUCUACUAGCCUGAGCGUUACCACUCUCGAAAACAUGUCGAACCUCUGAAUUUCAGAUGCAUGGUUGCAAAUUUAGUGUAUAUUCAGCCAAUACUAUUGCCUUUGCGUUAUCAACUCAUCGACGAUGUCCCUAAUAGUCUAAUCUUUAUUUAUUUUUUUCAAUAUCCAGUAUAUUAGUCACGCUGAAAUUCAAAAAAAAAGGAAAACAAAGAUCGUCUUAAACAUGGCCAAGGCGCUAAACGUCAAACGAGAGCCUUGUUAGACACCUGCCCAACACAACUCGUUAACUCCUUGACUAAAAAUCCAUGUGAUGCCGGACCGGCAUAACGACCCACGCGAUUUAACAAAGAUCCAUUUCGUAAUUGAAAAUGCCUGUGAAUAAAAAGAAGAGAUUGCACAUGCUCAACAAUGACAGUCUUUAGUGCACAGUAUUAGAAUUAGAAUCAGGGUCAAAAUAACCAAUAAGACUAACAACAAACUAUCUAAACUUUAGCCCCGUUGAUUUACAUGUACUCCAUCCGUUCCAAAUUGUAGGUUGUUUUGAUAUUUCUAUGUACAUUUUUUUUCUAUGCAUCUAAAUAUAGUCCAUAUCUAGAUGCAUAAUAAUGUCUAUAAAACUAGAAAAGUUAAAAUGAUCUACAAUUUGAAACGGGAGAAGUACCGAACGGUGAAGCAUAUAAUACAUCCUGACGUGUAUAUGAAUUUGAGCCGAUACCCAAGUACCCAACACUGAAGCAUAAAGCAUGUUUGUGGUUGUAUAGUACUUACUGCUAGUACAUCGCAAGCAGGCCAAGAGUUCGCAAGCAAAAUAGCCGUAUGGCUGUAUAUAUGAAUUUUACAAGAUUUUUUUAAUAAACAGAAGAAUUCUACAUUAAUUUUCUAAUUCAUUUCUCCUCAAUUUUUUUCCUAAUUCAUACAAAUGUUUCGUGACCUUUUCAAGAUAAGAUUGCAGUUACGAACAAAAAGAUUUUACGAAGAGCAGAUUCCCGCUACUUACAUUUUCAUUCCAUUUCAGAACGUAAGAUUGCUAUAUACAUUUGUACACAAUCUACCGAAACGGAAUUGCUAGCAUCCUUCUAGUUUAAAAUUGAGGUCCUGAGUGCUAAUUUUGAAGGCAAUUUUCCCUCCAAAACGACCCCGGGACGACGGAUCAAAAGCACGGCGUGAGCACGUUGAGCAGCGACACCCUCGCGUUAACAAGCGCCCGGUACACCUGCUCGCAGCCGUCUUCCGCCGCCACGACGCACUCCUCCAGCCUCCGCAGGCGUUCCAUGGCAGCCUGCCUCUCCUCCUCCUCCUCGCUGCAGCACUCCUCCAAAGGCACCUCCUUUGCGCCGGGUCCGGAUUCGCUGGCGGCGACGGCCACCGUACGCCGGCGCCACCGAAGGAGGUCGGCCACCCACCACACCGGCACGGCAGCCACCUUCGCCGGGGAGACCGCGAGCGGUGACGGCAUUGCGCGCGAGGACGAGGAGGCGGAGGCGGAUGCGAGCCC